rnacentral:rRNA from 1 species
UGGGGAAUAUUGCACAAUGGGCGCAAGCCUGAUGCAGCCAUGCCGCGUGUAUGAAGAAGGCCUUCGGGUUGUAAAGUACUUUCAGCGGGGAGGAAGGUGUUGAGGUUAAUAACCUCAGCAAUUGACGUUACCCGCAGAAGAAGCACCGGCUAACUCCGUGCCAGCAGCCGCGGUAAUACGGAGGGUGCAAGCGUUAAUCGGAAUUACUGGGCGUAAAGCGCACGCAGGCGGUCUGUCAAGUCGGAUGUGAAAUCCCCGGGCUCAACCUGGGAACUGCAUUCGAAACUGGCAGGCUAGAGUCUUGUAGAGGGGGGUAGAAUUCCAGGUGUAGCGGUGAAAUGCGUAGAGAUCUGGAGGAAUACCGGUGGCGAAGGCGGCCCCCUGGACAAAGACUGACGCACAGGUGCGAAAGCGUGGGGAGCAAACA